UACGUAGGGUGCAAGCGUUAAUCGGAAUUACUGGGCGUAAAGCGUGCGCAGGCGGUCUUGCAAGACAGAUGUGAAAUCCCCGGGCUCAACCUGGGAACUGCAUUUGUGACUGCAAGGCUGGAGUACGGUAGAGGGGGAUGGAAUUCCGCGUGUAGCAGUGAAAUGCGUAGAUAUCGAGUGGAACACCGGUGGCGAAGGCGGCUUUCUGGACAGGUACUGACGCUGAGACGCGAAAGCGUGGGGAGCAAACAGG
rnacentral:rRNA from 1 species